GGCAGGAUCAACCAGGUAGCAUCCCUCAUAGACAUCGAGUCGCAAGAUGUAAAACAUCUAUGAGACAUCGAACGUCAAUCGAAUGGGGCACGUAAUGCCAAUUUGUGGUCAAAUAUAGGGUCAUACGACCCUUACCCGCAGUGUUUUCUGAAUCCCCGAAAUCAAGCUAAGCUCGUGGGCCGAGACUGCAUAGCAAUUUGUAUGCAAUUCGGAACACAAAUUUCGCUUUACGUUUUGCCCGAUGCCGCACCGUGUAAACGGGCAGCGGUGGGGAAACUUGGGAUAGAUUGCCCAACGAAUUCCGUCGAUGUAGGUAUACAGCACAGGAAACCGACAACUUGGCCAAGGCAAAAGAGACUCUUGUGCCAAUAAUUGAAGAGGAAUGCACUAGAGGACGUCGCUACCCAAGUAGGGAUCCAA
rnacentral:misc_RNA from 1 species